rnacentral:rRNA from 1 species
AUUGAACGCUGGCGGCAUGCUUUACACAUGCAAGUCGAACGGUAACAGGCCGCAAGGUGCUGACGGGUGGCGAACGGGUGAGUAAUGCAUCGGAACGUGCCCAGUCGUGGGGGAUAACGCAGCGAAAGCUGCGCUGAUACCGCAUACGAUCUCUGGAUGAAAGCGGGGGACCGUAAGGCCUCGCGCGAUUGGAGCGGCCGAUGUCAGAUUAGGUAGUUGGUGGGGUAAAGGCUCACCAAGCCAACGAUCUGUAGCUGGUCUGAGAGGACGACCAGCCGAACUGGGACUGUGACACGGCCCAGACUCCGACGGGAGGCAGCAGUGGGGAAUUUUGGACAAUGGGCGCAAGCCUGAUCCAGCAAUGCCGCGUGCAGGAAGAAGGCCUUCGGGUUGUAAACUGCUUUUGUACGGAACGAAACGGUCCUGGUUAAUACCUGGGGCUAAUGACGGUACCGUAAGAAUAAGCACCGGCUAACUACGUGCCAGCCGCCGCGGUAACAC